CGAGUGGGUAAGGAGUAUCCCUCCGAUCCUUCCUCUCCGUCUCUGCUUCAGUUCCUGCUGCCAGGUUCCUGUCUUGAGGUCCUGCCUUGGCUUCUCUCAAUGCACUGUGACCUGGGAUACAUGCUGAGCUAAGACCCACGUUAUGGCGAGAUCAUCUUGACCCUUGGCCCUUCUUGUAUCUGACAAAGCAGGAAAAGGACGGUCCCUCUGGACCAAUGUGGCAGUGCCGCUUCAGGCUCAGGGAUGGGCUGUAUGGACUGGACACCAGGAUCUAGAGAAGACCCUGGCACACUUCCUACACAACAACUGGCUUCUACAAUGAGCUCUUCAGGUUCAGAAGCCUCACACCUCCCAGAAGGCUGUUUUGGCUUCUGUUACCCAAGUCACAUUUUACAAAUGGGGAACCAAGUCGCCUGCUCCAAACCACAGGGCCGAUAUCUGGCCAGAUAUGAGAUCAGAUCUAUCCUCUUGAAAUGUUUUGAUGGCUAUGCUAGCAGCUUAUCUUUCACAGGAUGAUGCCAGGAUGGGGCAAAGGCUCAGAAUGGCAGG